AUUGAACGCUGGCGGCAGGCCUAACACAUGCAAGUCGAGCGGAUGAAGGGAGCUUGCUCCGGGAUUCGGCGGCGGACGGGUGAGUGAUGCCUAGGAAUCUGCCUGGUAGGGGGGGAUAACGUCCGGAAACGGGCGCUAAUACCACAUACGUCCUGAGGGAGAAAGUGGGGGGGCUUCGGACCUCACGCUAUCAGAUGAGCCUAGGUCGGAUUAGCUAGUUGGUGGGGUAAAGGCCUUCCAAGGAGACGAUCCGUAACUGGUCUGAGAGGAUGGUCAGUCACACUGGAACUGGGCCACGGUCCAUGCGCCUACGGGAGGCAGCAGUGGGGUAUAUUGGACAACGGGCGAAAGCCUGACCCAGCCAGGCCGCGUGUGUUGAGAAGGUCUUCCGAUUGUAAAGCACGUUAAGUGGGGGGGAAGGGCAGUAAGUUAAUACCUUGCUGUUUUGACGUUACCAACAGAAUAAGCACCGGCUAACUUCGUG
rnacentral:rRNA from 1 species